rnacentral:misc_RNA from 2 species
AACGCACCUUGCGCCCCUUGGUAUUCCGAGGGGCACACCCGUUUGAGUGUCGUGAAAAUCUCAACCCUCUCGGUUUCUUCUGGACACCGAAGGAGGCUUGGACUUUGGAGGCCUUUGCUGGCGUCUCUCUCUUGAGAGAGCCAGCUCCUCUUAAAUGAAUUAGCGGGGUCCUCUUUGCUGGUCCUCGACAUGUGAUAAGAUGUUUCCAUGUCUUGGUUUCUGGCUCUGUUGCUUUUGGGACCCGCUUCUAACCGUCUCAACGAGACAACGUUUGAGCGCGUCUCCCUUCUCGGGAGACCCUCUCAACCUCACGAACCCUUGACCUCAAAUCGGGUGAGACUACCCGCUAAACUUAA